rnacentral:pre_miRNA from 2 species
GUGGAAUCACUUCUGCACAAACUUGACUACUGAAAUCAGUGUGCGGAAAUGCUUCUGCUA